rfam:Harpegnathos saltator strain R22 G/1 HarSal_1.0_3.contig7292, whole genome shotgun sequence.
GCCGAAAUAGCUCAGGUGGGAGGGCGUUAGACUGAAGAUCUAAAUGUCCCCGGUUCAAUCCCGGGUUUCGGCA